rnacentral:rRNA from 1 species
UACGGGGGGGGUAAGCGUUGUUCGGAAUUACUGGGCGUAAAGGGCUCGUAGGCGGCCAACUAAGUCAUACGUGAAAUCCCUCAGCUUAACUGGGGAACUGCGUGUGAUACUGGAUGGCUUGGAUUUGGGAGAGGGAUGCGGAAUUCCAGGUGUAGCGGUGAAAUGCGUAGAUAUCAGGAAGAACACCUAUGGCGAAAGCAGCUCUCUGGGACGGUACUGACGCUGAGACGCGAAAGCGUGGGGAGCGAACAGG